GAUGAACGCUAGCGGCAGGUCUAAUACAUGCAAGUCGAACGGUGUCUUCGGACAUAGUGGCGCACGGGUGCGUAACACGUAUGCAACCUACCUUACAUUGGGGGAUAGCCUUUCGAAAGGGAGAUUAAUACCGCAUAAGACAGUAGCUGGGCAUCCAGCAGCUGUUAAAGAUUUAUCGAUGUAAGCUGGGCAUGCGUCCAAUUAGCUAGUUGGUGAGGUAACGGCUAACCAAGGCAAUGAUUGGUAGGGGAACUGAGAGGUCAAUCCCCCACACUGGCACUGAGAUACGGGCCAGACUCCUCCGGGAGGCAGCAGUAGGGAAUAUUGGGCAAUGGACGCAAGUCUGACCCAGCCAUGCCGCGUGCAGGAUGAAGGCGUUAUGCGUUGUAAACUGCUUUUAUACAGGAAGAAACGACUCUUGCGAGAGGCAUUGACGGUACUGUAUGAAUAAGCACCGGCUAACUCCGUGCCAGCAGCCGCCGUAAUAC
rnacentral:rRNA from 1 species